UGNGCUAAAUUCCUCUGGGCAGCUGGAGGC
rnacentral:piRNA from 1 species